rnacentral:rRNA from 1 species
AUAACGGUCCUAAGGUAGCGAAAUUCCUUGUCAGGUAAGUUCUGACCCGCACGAAUGGCGUAAUGAUUUGGGCACUGUCUCGACAGCCCACCCGGCGAAAUUGUAGUACUGGUGAAGAUGCCAGUUACCCGCAACUAGACGGAAAGACCCCAUGGAGCUUUACUGUAGCUUAAUACUGAAGAUUGGUAAUGCAUGUACAGGAUAGGUGGGAGACUUAGAAGCCAGGGCGUCAGCUUUGGUGGAGUCGACCUUGGGAUACCACUCUUGUAUUGCUGGUUUUCUAACCUGCGGCCCUGAAUCGGGUCGGGGGACACUGUUAGGUGGGCAGUUUGACUGGGGCGGUCGCCUCCAAAAGAGUAACGGAGGCGCUCAAAGGUUCGUUCAGCACGGACGGAAAUCGUGCAUUGAGUGUAAACGCAUAAACGAGCCUAACUGCGAGACCGACGGGUCGAGCAGUAACGAAAGUUGGAGUUAGUGAUCCGGUGGUAUGUGAGUGGAAAUGCCAUCGCUCAACGGAUAAAAGCUACCCUGGGGAUAACAGGCUGAUCUCCCCCAAGCGUCCACAGCGACGGGGAGGUUUGGCACCUCGAUGUCGGCUCGUCACAUCCUGGGGCUGAAUUCGGUCCCAAGGGUUCGGCUGUUCGCCGAUUAAAGUGGCACGCGAGCUGGGUUCAGAACGUCGUGAGACAGUUCGGUCCCUAUCUGUUGCGGGCGUAAGAGAUUUGAAGGGAGCUGUCCUUAGUACGAGAGGACCGGGAUGGACGUACCUCUGGUGCACCAGUUGUCGUGCCAACGGCACAGCUGGGUAGCUAUGUACGGACGGGAUAAACGCUGAAGGCAUCUAAGCGUGAAGCCCCCCCUAAGAUGAGAUCUCUCAUCCUUUAUGGAGUAAGGGCCCAGGAAGACUACCUGGUUGAUAGGCAGGAGGUGGAAGCGCAGUAAUGUGUGCAGCUGACCUGUACUAAUCGCCCGAGGGCUUGACCUA